GUCACGCGAGCGGCAACGGUUAUCGGUGAGUACCCUCAUCCUCUGGCCUACCUCUGAAACGGGAUAGUUUCAGGGGCUGUUUGCGGGUUCCGUCAGGUGGGGCUUGUUCCCGCCACUCGGGCUCGACGCUGCGUUACCCCGCAGGUCACCGAUACACGGGUUUCGUGGUCGUGAUCUGGCUGGGGCCGGGCUGACCCGGUUAGUG
rnacentral:ncRNA from 1 species